AGUUGAGCUUGGAUGUUCGUUUUGAACGUGUAAUUUUAAUUCGAAAAUACCGACCGUCCCUAGAGCAAGUGGCAAAGGGUUUGGUGGUUGGUAUCUGAGGUCCCAAGUUCGAAUCCUAGUUGAUUCACAUUUCUAGCCAAGUUUAUUUCUAAAUGAAAUAAACGACGCGGGUAACAUGCUAUCUAUCUCUUCAAAAAAAAAAAAUGUUUAAUUCGAAAAUAACUUUUAAAGCCAAAC
rnacentral:lncRNA from 1 species